UAUAUCUCCUGCUCUCAAAGCUGCUUCAAGAUUGUGUUCUAAGGAUUAAGACUUCUACAUUCCUUCUCCUCAUGACCUUGGAGUCUACAGUGCUUGCAAUAUUUUGCUUGGUCUUGUCUUAUUUGCUGUGGCCAUAUCUACCGUCAGUGGUUUUCCAACUGCAGUUGCUAUGGAGAAGACUGCUUCUCUAACAAAAAAAUUUGGUGGUAGU